AGCUUGAGUUUCUCUUCAUUAUUGUAUAAAUCUUUUACCUAUUACUAAAGAUUUCUGUGAAGGGGAACGUUUUGCAAGUGACCUGUGUAUUUGAAGGCUCUGAUCACAGCAGAGCU
rnacentral:snRNA from 1 species